rnacentral:tRNA from 1 species
GGGCAAUUAGCUCAGUGGUAGAGUGUUCCCUUCGCAUGGGAAAUGUCGCGGGUUCAAUCCCUGCAUUGUCCA